GCUCCAGGAAGUCGCAGAAGCCCUC
rnacentral:miRNA from 1 species